rnacentral:rRNA from 1 species
UGGGGAAUUUUGGACAAUGGGGGGAAACCCUGAUCCAGCCAUCCCGCGUGUGCGAUGAAGGCCUUCGGGUUGUAAAGCACUUUUGGCAGGAAAGAAACGUCGCGGGUUAAUACCCCGCGAAACUGACGGUACCUGCAGAAUAAGCACCGGCUAACUACGUGCCAGCAGCCGCGGUAAUACGUAGGGUGCAAGCGUUAAUCGGAAUUACUGGGCGUAAAGCGUGCGCAGGCGGUUCGGAAAGAAAGAUGUGAAAUCCCAGAGCUUAACUUUGGAACUGCAUUUUUAACUACCGGGCUAGAGUGUGUCAGAGGGAGGUGGAAUUCCGCGUGUAGCAGUGAAAUGCGUAGAUAUGCGGAGGAACACCGAUGGCGAAGGCAGCCUCCUGGGAUAACACUGACGCUCAUGCACGAAAGCGUGGGGAGCAAACAGGAUUAGAUACCCUGGUAGUCCACGCCCUAAACGAUGUCAACUAGCUGUUGGGGCCUUCGGCCUUGGUAGCGCAGCUAACGCGUGAAGUUGACCGCCUGGGAGU